rnacentral:rRNA from 1 species
GAUUAACGCUGGCGGCGUGCAUAACACAUGCAAGUCGAACGAUGAAACUUAAAUGAUUUCUUCGGAAUGAACUUAAGUGGAUUAGUGGCGGACGGGUGAGUAACGCGUGAGUAACCUGCCUUACACAAGGGGAUAGCCGUUGGAAACGACGAAUAAUACCCUAUGAAACUAUCACUUCGCAUGAAGCGAUAGUCAAAGUGUUAGCGGUGUAAGAUGGACUUGCGUCUGAUUAGCUAGUUGGUGAGAAAAAAGCCCACCAAGGCAACGAUCAGUAGCCGGCUUGAGAGAGUGUACGGCCAUAUUGGGACUGAGACACGGCCCAGACUCCUACGGGAGGCAGCAGUGGGGAAUUUUGCACAAUGGGGGAAACCCUGAUGCAGCGACGCCGCGUGAUUUAGAAGGCCUUCGGGUUGUAAAAAUCUUUUGUAUAGGAAGAAAAUGACAGUACUAUACGAAUAAGGUCCGGCUAAUUACGUG